GAAGGUAUAGCUCAGUAGUACAGAGUGUGCUUAGCAUGCGUGAGGUCCUGCGUUCAAUCCCCAGUACCUCCA
rnacentral:tRNA from 1 species